rnacentral:lncRNA from 1 species
CUUCGCACGCCUGCACUGGGUUUCCGCCGCCGCCGCCGCCGCCGCGGUCGCCGGGCCGCGCCGGGCUCGGCUCCUCCGAACCGUCUGGCGGACUUGGCACCGGCCCCCGCUCCUCAGUGCCCCCGCGGUGCGUGGCAGGCUGCGGCUUCAUUAUCCUGAUUGAUUCCUCCUGCUCCCCGACACUGUGGGGGCCCCGGCCAAGGAAGGGGGGCGAGGCGGCAUCUGCGGGUCCCUUCCCUGGCUCUCGCCUGCGGUCGCUGCUCAGGCUGUCGGCCCCUCGGUGCCCUGCGGCGGGAAGGGAGGACCUGCCUGGCCUCUGCCCCGGUCGUGGGCGGGGAGGGCUCCGAGAAGGAACCAUGUAGUGUCUGGCGCCACGCUCCUGCCAAAGGGCUCGCCCUCAACAAAGGUUUUCCGCCUUCUCCAGGAGGAUAUGGAAGGGUUGGGGUGAAGCAGAAGCACGGUGAUGGACUUAAAACUUCGGUGGUGGACUGAGAACUUCAGGGAAGAACAUCCUGGCAAAAUGGGAAAGGUGACAUCCACGUGGAGCAUCGGUCAUGGGGCCAAGGAUGGGUGACACGUGUCUUACCUGGGCACCUUGAGUACGGUUCUCAGGGGAGGCAGGGAUAAGGUCUGUCCAAAUAACUAUGGACAGAUCUGAGCACAACCUGGCAUAGAUCUGAGCUCAAUGGGAGAUGGGGAAUCUGUGAAGGGGAGGACCAGUCCCCAGAAUCUAUCAGGAACCACCCCCACCUCAGCCACCGGCCAGGAUCUUGGUGGAAGGCAUCUUGGGCCAGGCCUGAGAUGGGAAUGUCUUUAGUUUUGCCACUUGGCUUGUGACCUUGGAAAGACAAUUUAUUUUAUUUUAUUUUAGCCUUGGUUUACUUAUGGGAUUAAGACCUCCCAUUUGUUGGUUACAAGAGGCUGAGGCAGGAGGAUUGCAGGUUGGAGGCCUGCCUGGGCACUUUAGCAAGACCUUGUCUCAAAAAAAAAAAAAAAAAUAUAUAUAUAUAUAUAUAUAUAUAUAUAUAUAUAUAUAUAUAUAUAUAUAUAUAUAUGGCUAGGGAUGUAGCUCAGUGGCAAAACACCCCUCUGUUCAAUCCCCAGUAUCAACAAAGAAUGUCCUAUUUGUCAAUGGUUAAAUGAAAUAAUUAUAUAUAAUGUGUUGCUUCAGCACCCAACCUAAAUUCUCUGGAAAGAAGGAAGGGAACUGAGGGGUUGACCUCCAUUCCUUUGCUGUUUGGGGUAGAUCCACUGAGGGAGAUGAGUUUCCUCCAUGUAUUUAAAUCCAUUCUUAACUGGAAAAUGACCUUGAACCUUCCAGCUUAAGCUGCCUCAUUUUUCAGAGUAGAGGGAGAAAACUGCUGUCCAUCUCAUUGGUAUGGCAUGGAGUUAAUAUGUAAGUUCACAUCAGGCUCUCCACCACUCUCAUCCCUCUGUCCAUGGUGCCUCUCUGCGUACAAGCCCUGACAGUCUCCCCCUAGCGCCUCAGCCCUGUCCUGUCCCAGGGCCAGACCUAGGAAAUGUCUUAUAUGGGCUUGGCUCUCUUGAGUAACCCAAAGUUUAGUCCCCCUCAACCCUGGAAAGGAGGGAGUUGGUGAAGAAUUUGAGGCUAUUUUUUCAGGAACCAUGGUGAUUUUGUGUGUGUGUGUGUGAACAUGAUUGAGGUCACUCUUGAUUGGUAGGUCUGUUUCCUCUUCUGUGAGUUCAACCUGUAUUUUCUUAAAUAUUUUUAAUUGUAGAUGGAGGCAAUAUCUUUAUUUUAUUUAUUUAUUUUUAUGUGGUGCUGAGGAUCGAACCCAGGCCUCACACAUUUGAGGCAAACACUCUACCACUGAGCUACAACCUCUGCCCAAGUUCAACCUGUAUUUACUGGGUGACCACACUGGGGCAGCAUGGUGCACCCAGAAGGAAUGAACUCAGCUGGGGUUGGGAAGACCUCCACUCUGAAACCACUGAACUUCUGGGGGUAACAGCCAAAUUACACAGCAGCCUCUCUAAUACAGAGUGUUUGCUGCAGAGGGACCUCCCAGUUUCUAGAACAUUCCACAAUGUCAUAAUGCUCCCCUCCUUCCUGAAUACAGCACUUUUGCCCUGGACUUUUCAGUCAGAGACUAAUUAUUUUUCUAUGAGAAAAUAUCCUAAAAUUUGAGUCUGGGGCCUUUGUUGGGAUUACCUAUUUUUACAAAAAUCAUGUAUUUUAUGUUCAAGGGCAAAACACACAAAAAAGCAUUCCCCAUUUAGGAGGGAAAAAAAUGCAAAGGAGGAUUUUUCCUCUAUAACUGAAGGCAAAUAAGUACACAUGUGGAUGCCUGCCAGGCUGGCCAGGGUCCUCCAUCAUUGUGGCCCUGGGUGCAGGUGCCUCAGUCUCCCCACUGGCCUGCCUAGCCUGCCCCAUCCUCAGCAUGUAUAUCCCUCAGUUCUACUUCCUGUUAAUACAAACCAUGUGGGACCCUGGCUGUGGCAUCUCCAAGUUGAAGAGGAAGACUCGGCCCCCUUGUGGCUGCCAGGGAGGCUGGCAGGAAGGGGCAUCUCCACAAGACAUCUCCUGGGAAACAGUGAUCUCCCCAGAGAAGAGACAUUUGGAAAUAAAAUUCCAGCCAUUGUUGUUUGUUUGUGUGUCGGGGUGGAAGAAGAAGUUAAGAAACCUCCUCAGCCCUCUCUGCUCUUCUCUCUCUUCAGGGGAAGUCUCCCUCAGCAGCUGUCACUGCCUCCUAAGAUGAUAACUGCUUGCAGGCUCUGUUGGGACUGGAAAGUGACCUAGAUGCAGAUGUAGGAGAAGAGCACUGGGCUGAGAGUCAGAGGCCCAAGUUCUUGGCUUCUGUGUCUCACCUGUGACCCUGGCCUAUUAUCCCUCCCUUUCCCAGUCCUAGGUUCCUCUGUAAACUGUGGGUAUUUCACCACUAUUCUUAGUGCACAGGACCUACUCCACAGGCCCAAGAAUGGUCAUUCUAGGCCAUUAUUUCCUGCACCAGGGACAGAUAUCUGAUAGGAGAUCAUGAUUCCUUGUGUGGCAAUUAGUUGUUUAAACCAGACUGGGCCCUUUGUCUUAUUUGAAUAUUUGUGAGUGCUUUUUUUUUUUGUAUUGGGGAUUGAAUUCAGAGGCACUUGACCACUGAGCCACAUCUUCAGCCCCAUUUUGUAGUUUAUUUGGAUACAGGAUCUCACUAAGUUGCUUAAAGCCUCGAUAAUUGCUGAGGCUGACCUCGAACUUGUGAGCCUCCUGCCUCAGCCUCCAGAGCCACUGGGAUUACAGGCAUGCACAAACAGGCCUGGCU